rnacentral:rRNA from 1 species
UACGUAGGCAGCGAGCGUUGUUCGGAAUUACUGGGCGUAAAGAGUGCGCAGGCGGUUUUCUAAGUUUGGUGUGAAAUCUCCCGGCUUAACUGGGAGGGUGCGCCGAAGACUGGAAGGCUUGAGUAUGGGAGAGGUAAGCGGAAUUCCUGGUGUAGCGGUGAAAUGCGUAGAUAUCAGGAGGAACACCUGCGGUGUAGACGGCUUACUGGACCAUCACUGACGCUGAGGCACGAAAGCGUGGGUAGCAAACAGG